rnacentral:rRNA from 1 species
CCUACGUGAGGCAGCAGUGGGGAAUAUUGCACAAUGGGGGAAACCCUGAUGCAGCGACGCCGCGUGAGUGAAGACGUAAUUCGUUAUGUAAAGCUCUAUCAGCAGGGAAGAAAAUGACGGUACCUGAGUAAGAAGCCCCGGCUAACUACGUGCCAGCAGCCGCGGUAAUACGUAGGGGGCAAGCGUUAUCCGGAUUUCCUGGGUGUAAAGGGAGCGUAGACGGCAGUGCAAGUCUGGAGUGAAAGGCGGGGGCUCAACCCCCGGACUGCUCUGGAAACUGUACGGCUGGAGUGCAGGAGAGGUAAGUGGAAUGCCUAGUGUAGCGGUGAAAUGCGUAGAUAUUAGGAGGAACACCAGUGGCGAAGGCGGCUUACUGGACUGUAACUGACGUUGAGGCUCGAAAGCGUGGGGAGCAAACAGGAUUAGAUACCCUAGUAGUC